CCCCCAUGGUCCCCUCCCCCAGCCCCCCCCCACCCCCCGUCCCCCGCCCCUAGUACUUACCAGUUCGGAGUCAGCUGCAGCUCCCUGCUGCAGCCACCGGGGACUGCCCGAAUCAUCAAAGCUCUCCAAAUCUUUUCUGAAGAUUCAGAGAGCUUUGUAUUGAUUCGGACCUUUCAAUUGGUCCCCUGAUUUGAUUUGGAUUUGGAGAUUUGGCCAUCGAAUUGGGCCAAAUCUCUGAAUCGAAUCACCACCCGAAGCUUUGCGUAGCCCUAUUGCUCGGCUGGGUGGUCAUAACACAGAGGAGAGAGCAUGGGGAAGGCAGGAUGCUGCUAGGUCUGUUUUAGGGGUGUCUAUUCCAGCGUUUUCACUAAGGCCACUUGAUUUGCCCCGAGAUGAUUUCUGGAGAGGUAAUAUCAUGAGGGGAAAGGGCCAUGCUGGCUGCCCCAGAGACAGCAAUAGAGUUAAAGCUCUCCCAACCCAAUAUGCCUUAAACGUGAAUCUCCUCCCAGGUCCUUUAAGGGACGAGUACUGGCCGGGAAGACCCCCUUGUGCCGAGGACAGGCCAAGCACCAGUGCUGUUGCAGUAGGUCUCUCUGUAUCCCUAUGCCCAGGAGAUCCAUCUGGGCCCUUGCAGUUGAGCCAUCUGGGACAAGGAUGGUGCCUGGGAUCCACAGGUGCAAGGUGAUAAAUGGCGUCUAAUGGCCAGGGAGGGAUUAGCAUCCCCCGGGCCCUGCAGAGCACACCCCUGCAGGGGGAAAGCAUUUCCGAUACAGGCUGGGCCUGGCACACACGUAUUCAUUAGAGCUGUCACGGCAGGGGGCUGAUGGUCUCUGACUUCCCCCGGCAGGUCCCCAGGCAGCCCUUGUCCUGGUAACAUCUGAAUUCCUCUGUGCUUGCACUUCCUGACCUCUUGAAUACUCUCACUCCUCCUGCCAAGCUCAGCUGGGAGCCGCUGGCCCCUGUGGGCAGGGAGCAGGGGCAGAGUUGUGUGAAGGGGCUGAUCUCGGCUCUGGGGGGUUCAGAGAGACUCCGCGGGUCCGAGCCAGAGACCUGUUUGCCUGGGGAAGCCACGCUGGUCUGGAUUCCCACCGUGGCCUGGGCGCCACUCCUCCUCGUGCUGCUCACACGCUGCUCGGGUACCCCGAAGGGGAGGGUCAGCCACGUCCUGGGCUUUAUGAAUCCCAGGUUCUCUUCCCACAGGUGUUUUUUCCAGUUUCUUGCCUUUUGGUCCUGCCCUGUCUGCCACAAAACCAGAGGCUCAGUGCGGAUAAGGGAUUAAUUCCUGUCAUUCUUCCAGGUUCCCUCUCACAUCUGCACUGACUCGAGCGCCCGCAAAGUCCGUGGCUCUGGGCAGCACUGCCAGUCUCUCUCGGACACUGAGCGGUGAGCACAGGCACUACUGUGUCCACUGGGACCAACAAAACCAGAGCCAGGCCCCACAAUUUCUCUGGCACAGCGAGGGGAUCAAAGGGAAUGGAGUCCCAGACCGAUUCACCGUUUCCAACUCCAGCGCCAUAUGCUGUUUAACCACCACCAGUGUCCCUGGGGAAGAUGAGGCCAUUUCCCGGUGUGGUGCAGGUUACAAGAUUGGAGGUAGUUAUGGGUAUGUCAGCGUGACACAGUCAGAUGAGGACCUGAGACAAAAACCUCCCUUGGGCUCAACGGGGCUCUUUGUGGCUUGGAUCUGUGCUCCAUGAAGGGUUUGCAUGUCAGCAAGCUCUGCUAGCCCCUCGAGUAGCUACUCGCAGUCUAACAGGCCCUUCCUUGUCCUGCUCUGUCCUCGUACUCUUGGACAGGCACAGCAGCUUUUCACUGUUUCCCUGCCUAGCAGCUCUCUGCCCUUGACUGUCAACAUAUAUUCCUCCUCUUCUCUUUUUGUAGAAAGGACUAAAGGUUCAGAGACACCUUUCCACACCCACUAUUAGCAAACGAAGGAUGGGAAUGCGUGAUACACAAACCCAGCACAGAUUCAGGAAACAUCUCCAAAAUGUGUGGUUGCAGCCUUCUCCCCUCUGAUUCCUUAACAGAUGUGUGGUGCCCCCUUCAGAGGGAAUCCCUUUCUUUAAGCAAAGAGCUAAACCCGCACACCCAUUGAGGAGAAAGGGCAAUCCCAGCUCCGGAUUAAGGACUAUGCAGAGUGUCAUCCCUAAUUGCACAUAAUCCCAUUUGUAUCCAGCCUUCGUCCCACAUCCUUGCUCAGGGGUUCAUAAAAGGGAAAGGAAUUCUCGUUUGGGAAGAAACGAGUGACCUCUCCUCUUUUACUGUCCUCCUCGUGCUGCCUCCUGGGUCCCAUCUUGUCCUGCUCUGUCAUUGCAUCCUUUGCCAAGGGGCAAAACAACUUGUCAGUGCUUCCCCUUAGCAGUUCUCUGCUGUACGUGGUGGAGACUCAUUCAUCCCCUCCUCUGUUGCUUGCCGAGGUCUGUAUGCUUGGGAGCCCCUCUGCUCACCCAGCGUUCAGAAGCUCAGGGUGGCAUCUCGGGUAAAGGACCAAUCUCCAUCAGGUGUCAUUUCAACUCUCUCUUGAGACCCCUUGGGUGCAUGUGCCCUUCUUUGCAGGGUGAGAGUUUUCUGUAGACAAAGCAUUGGACCCCAUGGACGUCCUGAUGAGGAUGGGAAAUCAGAGCAAUGACUACAUAGCGAUGUGGAGCGUCAUCUCGGGUCACGUGGGCUUCCAUCCUGACACUCGGCGAGCAAAUUCUGUCUUCCAGGUUCAGUCGGAGGGAAGGAAAAUCAGUGGAUGAUGGCACUGCAGGGUGCUGGACUCUCAGAUAGUUUCUAAACUAAACAAAAGUUGAAGUACCCCCCCGGUGCUCAUAAGGGAAAUGCACCUUUGUGAGAUGUUUGUCAUGGGGGACAGUGGGCUUUGGCCAAAUCUGGGGAUUUGUUUGGGGGGUCUCUACAAAGGCACGAGAGAGAGGCAGAUAGCAGAGGCAGACACACACUGUGGGUAAAUGUGAUUCCACCUGGCUAGCUGGUGUUUCACAUAACCUACAUCACCGUGCUACAUUCGCAACUACAUGGGCUCAUUUGUGAUGUUUCUAGUAAGUGGGGGAGGUCGAGGCAGCAGCAGCCAGGGAGCAGGGAGCAGAUUUGCAUGAAGGAACAGAUCUUGGUCCGGGAGUCAGAGAGAGACUGGGAGGGUCCCAGCGAGAAACUUCCUUGGCUCAGGAAGCCGACCUAGUCUGGAUUCCCACCAUAACCCCUCUCCUCCUUGUGCUGCUCACGUGCUGCUCGGGUAACUCAUCAAAGGCCGCGUGUUCCAGAUGACUUUUGCAGACCUUCCUGAGAUGAACAGAGAAAUGGGGAGCCCGCUGUACGAGAGGAGAGUAAAGGAACUGCCUUGUCCUACCUUGUGAGAAGCAGACCGAGAGUGGAGAUGACUGCUCUCUGCGAUUACAUCCAAGAGAGCCAAGAGCCAUGCAGAAGAAAAGGAGAGUGCCAGCUCCAGAAAAAAUUAUGUCAAAUCAAGGAAAUGGUCAACAGAGAACUGCCACGCUCAUCACAUGUACGCGUGUCUCAGAAGCCAGUAAAGGCAAGAAAGCUACAUUGACGGACAAAAAACUAGAGCUCUUCCUUCCAAAAUGAUAUCUUUCAUUACACCAACUGGAGAAUCACAAGAAAAUUGUCCUUUUCUGCAAGCUUUCGGGAUCAAAGUCCCUUUGUCAAGCUCUGGGAAAAGUAUAGGUGGUACAAGAUGGUAAGGAGUCCCUAUAGGUAGAAAAUCAACUUCAUUUUUGCACGGAGGGAGCUGGAGAUGGAAGACUGUUCCUCUGGGUCCGUGAGAGUGUCUUUGUGAGCUGUGCCAAGUAGUUCUUUGCUGUUUUGGUCAGGUAGGACUCCUUCCCUGGAGGUGUCAGAUGGCAAGCGGGGAAGUAACAAAAACUUCCUUCUGGUUCUGCAAUGAAGUUUAAAACCCCAAAAAGAAAGCUACAUACACAUUUCAAUUGACAUAGCAGCUACAGGGAACAAAA